CCUACGGGAGGCAGCAGUAGGGAAUAUUGCUCAAUGGGGGAAACCCUGAAGCAGCAACGCCGCGGGGAGGAUGAAGGUUUUCGGAUGUUAAACUCCUUUUGGUAGAGAAGAGAAUGACGGUAUCUAACGAAUAAGAACCGGCUAACACCGGGCCAACAGCCGCGGUAAUACGGCGGGUGCAAGCGUGACUCGGAAUCACUGGGCGUAAAGAUCGCGUAGGGGGGAUUGCAAGUCAGAUUUGAAAUCCUGUGGCUUAACCCUAGAACUGCCUUUGAAACUGUUAUUCUAGAGUAUGGGAGAGGUAGGUGGAAUUCUUGGUGUAGGGGUCCAAUCCGUAGAGAUCAAGAGGACUACUCAUUGCGAAGGCGACCUGCUAGAACAUACCUGACGCUGAUGCGC
rnacentral:rRNA from 1 species